GCCGGGGUGGCGGAACAGGCAGACGCAAGGGACUUAAAAUCCCUCGGACAAUAUUUGUCCGUACCGGUUCGAUUCCGGUUCCCGGCACCA
rnacentral:tRNA from 1 species